rnacentral:rRNA from 1 species
UACGAAGGGGGCUAGCGUUGCUCGGAAUCACUGGGCGUAAAGGGUGCGUAGGCGGGUCUUUAAGUCAGAGGUGAAAUCCUGGAGCUCAACUCCAGAACUGCCUUUGAUACUGAAAGUCUUGAGUAUGGGAGAGGUGAGUGGAACUGCGAGUGUAGAGGUGAAAUUCGUAGAUAUUCGCAAGAACACCAGUGGCGAAGGCGGCUCACUGGCCCAUAACUGACGCUGAGGCACGAAAGCGUGGGGAAGCAAACAGGG